AUUCCUCCAGCUCCUGGAUCAGCACCUGUAAGCAAAGAGACGGUGUGAGAGGGAGGUUUCUUUUCAAAAAGAUUUUGUAAAAAGCCACUUUCCACACAACACACUGCGCUCGAUCCACUCACCCGUGCCGACUUCUGACAGGGUCCAGACAGGAGGAAGCGGGCGAUCAGAAAUGGAAACUGAGAGGUCCAGGAAUGGGACGGAGGCGUCAGAAAUGGUCCAGGUGAAUUUGAGGGUGACUUUGAAGGUGUUGGCGAAGGUAAUGAACUGCUCAAGCUCCCAAAAGACCACCAUGGGCCGUCAAGAGACAACCACACCAGGCCGAGAGGAUGCCUCGCCAGCUCAGCACUGAGGCUGACAGUCGAAGUCCGCAUUGAGGCCGGGAGACUGCACUGAGGCCAGGUGUUCAGGAAAUCAGCAAGAAGAAAGAAGAGAAAAACAAAACACAAAGGAGAAAAAGAGUAACAGACGGAGCAGACAAACUCUGGCUGAAGUGCCUUACGCUGCCGCAGCUAAAUAGCACACACAGCUGCCACUAUGUGUCAGUUGUGAAGCAAGUGAAUUCUGAAAGUGGUGAAUGGGUUGCCAAUCACGUGAGUUGCUUUGUCCUAGAUUAUGUCAAGCAUCUUGAAUGUGGUUGGAACUGCACUCAUCUAGACAAGCAGACAGCAUUGCAUCACACUGCAGACUUAUGUCUUGGAAAUGGUGAACAGGGAUUGGAGAUACUAGUGGCAUGCAGGAAAUCUCUGCAAAGAAGAAGCCAAUAUUGCUGACCUUCAACACCACUUCCAUCUCUGAGGAGGAAGCCAUGCGACCCCCAGAUGAUGGAGCAAUAAGGCUUUCACCUGAACCCUCUGCCAACUCGGAGCUUUUUAUUUGAACAUGUUCUCUCACAGUUUACACUUGGGAGCACAAUCAGGUGAGCAUAUCAAUGACAAAUCUCUGCAGCCAGUCAAGGAAGAAAUACUCCAGAGUUUCUGGCUUUCAGAGCACUGCUGGAGGCCAUGCGCCUGCUUAGCUGCAAGUAGAAGACGAUCCUAUAGUUGACUACUAACGACUUAGUCAAACUGCAAGACAGAUACAGUAGAGCAGAAAGUUGGUCAGAGGAAUUGACUAAAUUGGGUUAAAGAUGGAGGACCCCACCAAUAUUAUUAGUACUUAAAUGGCUGCUUUCCCCAUGGACAGAUUGUUAACCACCAUGGAAAGCCAGGUCCAGCAUACUCAGGCUUUUAUGUGCACAUAGACCUGCACUUUAUUAUGCUCUAUUGUUGUUGCCAAAGGUGCUCAGUAUCGAAGGUAAGGUGAGAAGGGGACAUGGCACUUCAUCCUCAUUCCAGAUGCCCUUUCUUCUCAAGGAGACAGUGUACUGCCAACAGGCAUCUUUGGGGAGGAGUACUUCUACACAAGACCCACAAAAACAUCCUCACAGGACAAUCCAAGGUGCCCAGCUGCUUCACCCUCCAGCACCACCAACAAGGACAAAUACAGAGCUGACUCCCUCCACCUUAGCUGUGAAAGUCUGAACUGCACUUAGACAUAGCGAAAGAGAAAGGAAGAAAAUAUUAACUGAGAACAAUUGGGUGGCACUUUUUGUAAAUGUAUGAUACAUGUCUUCUUAAGAGUCUGUGACAGUGCUUGCAUUGACCAUUGCCAACACACCCCAGACUGAUUUGCCAGGGCAACCCCAAAUGUGACUGGCUCGCUCCCCAGACUAAUGCCUCCACAGUACCCUGACAGGUAUACCUGUGAUCCCGCUGAAUUGGUUUCAUUUGAUUUGCAAGACUGAUCUGUGGCUCAAUCCCUGGACAAUAAGGACAUAGAUCCCUGGAUCGUGCACCAAACUGACUGUGGUCGAAUCCCUGAAUGGAGUUUGGACAAGCUCCUGACUAACUGUGGGGGCACCCAGUGACUGACUGUUAUCCCAUUUGACCCUGUUAAGGACUGAUUCCUUUUGAUUUAGACAUGAGUAUUUCGUUGAAGCACAUGGAGUAUGUUUACUACAGAAGUCACUAGCAUAUCUGUAAGUGUAACAUUGUCAUAGCACAGUGUCAUACAACAUUCUUUCCACCACUUUCGUGGUCCAGUGCUCUGAAACAUGACAAGCUACCUGCCUUUCUCAUUGUGUAUUAAGACAAUGCAAGCUGUAAGUUAGGAGUGAAUAGCUUAUGCACUGAAAAAUAAUACAAACCACAGAGACCUGCAGCUUCCAAGUAGAUGCCAAGUGAGUCAGCACUGAGAACUUAAGAGAAAAGCCUUAAGAUGCAUCAUAUGUAGAUGAGUGUGUGUCCAUGUAGACAAAACAACCUGGCAGAAGGAUGCAAGUUGUGUGGCCCUAAGCUCCAAACUGAUGUCUGGAAGGGCUGAGUAGCCAUAAUAUUGUGGUGAGGCUAGAUGUUUGGCAAUACCCACUUGCAUGGACGAAGGAUGGAACAGGACAGUAUCUACAGAGAAUGCAGUGAUGUUUUAGGAAAGACAGCAUUAUCUGAUAGCCCUAAGAAGUAAAUUGUGAAUUACUGCACCCAGUAACUAACUGGCUGGCAUAUGUUUCCAAACAGAUCUACAUCCUGCCAGCCAGUUCUCAGUGCAGUUCAACAAAUUAUCUCUAAUAUUAGAGAUCCAAGUCUCUUCAGCUGUACCUUAUCAAAAGAUUUUAUGCAGAUCUUCUUUCUAAUGUUGAAAAAAAUGUUCAAGCCCUUUAAAGUCAGUCUUUUUAGACAUCUUACAACAUACAUUUAAGCCAGGUAGGACUUGGACCCAACCUUACUCUGGCCCAGAGAUACAGACACUAUUAUUGCACCAUAAGAAACCCUCAAAGUAGAUACUUACAAAAAAAAACUGUUCAAAUACUUUAUAGCACACUUGUGGAACAAGUGGGACUUGAAACUUGGCCUCUUGGCUCAGAGUUGGGACACCACCAUUGUACCACAAGAGACCCCAUUCUAGUUUCUUGGGGAAGGUGCCUAGGCUAAGUUUUAGUAAAGGUCAAAUUAAGUAAUUUUUUUUGAUAAACAAGGGAGUCAAUGGGGUCUGGCAGGAAAGUAGAUUUGUGAUUACAACCAGAUCAGCCACAAUCUGAUUGAACAUUGGAGCAAACUCAAAGGGUUGAAUGGUCUAUUCCUGCUCCUAAGUCUCAUAGUCCUAUUGAUAUGCAUCAACUUGCACUCAUUGUCCUUUGACUGUACCUAUUAUUCUAUUUGCAGUAUCACUUCAUGGCAUUAUUUGUGUACCUUGAGAGAUACAUGCACUAGAAAGCCCAGAUUUCUGAGUUUUUUCACUUUCUUUUAAGGUUUUCCCCAAAGGAUGCAUCAGCGGUGAGCACUGGCCCUACGUUAUAGUUAAUGUUUCAUUUAUUUGAGUUAAAUAUUAUUUGGCAGUCAUAAACCCAAUCUCCCAUCCUGUUAAGAUCAAUCAGAAGCAGAUAACCAUUGUCUCCAGUCCAAACGCUUACACAGAUCUUAUUGUCUGCAAAUUUGACAAAUCAUGUGCCUGAAAUCUACAACUGGAUCAUCAUUGAAAACAAUAUAGAUCAACAGUCCCAGCACCGAUCCAUGUGGGAUACCACUUGUCAUAUGUCUUUAAGUGGUACCAAACUUGUCUAAUGAUAUGUUUGAUUAGGUUCUAACAAUAAUUUUUUGAUUCUGGAUACCACACAAAGAAUUAUUUUCAGCCUGCAUGUCAAUGUAUACCUUCUUGCUUGAGCUUUUCAUCAAUUUCACUGAGAUUGUAUAUGACAAUGAUGAGUUCUGUACUUGACUGUAUUAAUGAAGUUUUCCCAACCUUAUGUUGGUGACCAUCAAGCUGAAAUAAUAAUUACAUUCACACCAAAAGAUGGAGGAUUCUGCCAAAAUUAUGGGGCAAAACACAGUUGAAGUAUCAGAGAUAAUAGGAACUGCAGAUGCUGGAGAAUCCAAGACAACAAGGUGUGGAGCUGGAUGAGCACAGCAGGCCAAGCAGAAUCUUAGGAGCAGGAAAGCUGAUGUUUUGGGCCUAGACCCUUGAUCAGUUUGUUUUCAGUUCAUCCCUUUCUGUUUGCUGGAUGGUUUGUGCUCCAUGAUUUGAUGGACCAUAUUUAAUGCAUUGCUUCAUUCACUAACUGGUGUUAGCUACACAAUUGUUGCACUGCCCUAUGUGCAGCGCUUUGAAUUUUUUUAAAAAUUUGUUUUCACUGAUGAAAUAUAGGUUAACCAAGUCCUGUAGAGAGGGCACCCCAAUCCAGAUUAUUAAUCAGAUCCAGGAACUUUGAAGUAACAGACAUAACACACCUGUUCUCUUUAUUUUGGAAAUCAAAGGGCCAAAUGUUGUUAAUGAGUCAUUCGACGCAUCACUGAGCUAAGGCCUUCAGUGCUGUGAACACAAGUCUUUGCUAAAUAGAAGUGUGUUGACAUACUGCAUUCCUUUUUAUUCAAGCACUCUUGUAUCUCGUUAGGGAGAACAGUUCCAUAUAUCAUCAUAAGAGUUCAGAUGCCUUCUUUCUGGGAAAGGCAAUAUCAUGAAAAGAUCCUGACAACAACCUACACAUAUGUAAAGACCUGAGAGCUGAAAGCUAUACAAUUCUCACUCAGUCCUUUAAAGGGCUUGACAUUUUUCAACAUUGGGAAAAAGAUCUGCAAAGACGUUUCAAUAAAGUAAUGCUGAAGAGGCUUAGACCUGUGAUAUUAGUGAUAAUUUGUUGAACUGCAUUGAGUAUUAGCUGGCAGGACACUGAUCUGUUUGGAGACAUAUAACUAUUGAGAUCAAUGGUAGGCCAAUUGGUCCCUACUAUUAAUAUUGUAAGGCCUGAGGUUGAUUAGCUUGAAAGGUUGGUUUGUAAUGCAGAACGAUGCCAACAAGAGGUUCAAUUUCCAUACCAUCUGUGGUUACCAUGAAGGUCCUACCUUCUCAACCUUGUCCCUUGCCUAAGGCAACAUAACCAUCUGGUUAAAUUCCCCACCAAUCAUCUCUUUCUGAUGACAAAACAAUCCUAUGGUCCUCUGGGACUAUGGUGAUUUUAUUGCAAGAUCCACAAAUUUGCAGUUGAUAAGUGUUCUGAUUGUAAACAAUACUGCCCACUUCCAAUUAAUUUCCUAUUAUUUCUGAAUGUUCUUUGUGUUUUUUUCAAUGAGUAGACAGUUGAAAAUUAUUAAUUGCAUGCUUCUGCCAAUUUCCAUAUUCUCCAAUUUUGUUUUCCUUGUUUUCUGUUCUGCCUGCACUGGUUAAGUUUGUUGGUGUUGACUAGGAGUGACUGACUCGCUCUGACAGGCUUGUUAGCCCACUCAAGCUUCAGCCCAACCAUGAUAAAUGUUUAGCAACAGUCGACUGGACUGCAUACAAUUGACAUUUCUUAUGAGCUGAACAGGACAAAGAAGCCCUAACACUGUAAGCAUUCAAGCAAAUUAUGGCUGCAGCACAGGGUGGGGAGGCCACUGAAGUUUCUCCCUGUCUCGCUGCAGCUGUGGAGAGAAAGCACAGCUAAACAUUUUGAGCCCAGUGAUUCAAUUUGAGUUACUUGAUUUAUUUAUUGAAGCCUCAUCUACCGAAGUACAAAAUUACAGUUGCAGUGGAGGUGCACCAAGCAAGAUCACUGUCAGCAAGAUCAACAUUAUUUGAAGUUAGGGAGGUCCAUUCAACAGCCUAAUAACAGCAGGGAAGAAGCUGUUCUUGAACCUGUUGAUUCAUGUGUUCUCUGUGUCUUCUGCCUGACAGAAGAGGUUGGAAGAGUGCAUUACCGGGGUAGGAGGGAAGUCUUUGAUGAUGUUGGCAGGCUUUCCACAGCAACAAGAAAUGUAAAUGGAGUCCGUGGAUGGGAGGUUGGCUUCCAUGAUGGUCUAGGCAGUGCACAAAACUUUCUUUAGUGGUCCUCCUUCAGAACAUUACACCAAACCUGCUGAUUUCUCCAGUAAUUUCUGUUCUUGUUUCAGAUUUCCAGCAGUUCUUUGUUUUGUUUCUUCCUGUUUAUUCUGUACAGAUGCCCAUGGCUCUGAAUAAUUUUAUUAAUCCCCUCUCAAUCUUCUCUACUGCAAGAAGGACAUUUCCAGCUUCAACAACUUAUCUACAUAACUGAAGUUCCCCAACUCUGAAACAAUUUUUGUGAAUUGUUUCUGCAGCCUCCUGGACACUUUCAUGCGAUUAUUAAAAUGUGGUUGCCAGGAUCUCGGUGUGUUUUUUAAUGUGCUCUCAACCUGCCUUACCACAUUUACUGGUUUAUACACAUUCAUCUGCAUGUCCCUCUGCUCUAACACUGCCAUUAUAAAUUUUACUUUAAUGUUGUUUACAUUCAUUCUUACUAAAAAUGAAUCCCAUCACACUUCCCUGUACCUCUCCUGGAAAUGGUUACUUAACAGGUCAAGUACAACAACUUACCUAAUAUGUUUUCCUUAUCAAUUUUAACCCUUCAAAUGUCACAACUAUUGAAUUUUCCCAUUGGAUGUGUUUUCUUCCUUAGUAAUGACUGUGAUCACCUUUAACCUAAAAGGAGUGCAAUAAUAAAAUUAUUAGUUCUUUAAGAUAUCUGUGGAAUUUGUGAUUGUUUUAAAUAAAAGUUUAAAAAUGA